rnacentral:rRNA from 1 species
GACGAACGCUGGCGGCGUGCUUAACACAUGCAAGUCGAACGGGAUUUAGUAGACAGAAGCCUCGGCUAAAGAUUACUAAUGAGAGUGGCGAACGGGUGAGUAACGCGUGAGCAACCUGCCUAUGACAGUGGGAUAGCCUCGGGAAACCGGGAUUAAUACCGCAUAAAAUCGUAGAAACACAUGUUUCAACGGUCAAAGAUUUAUCGGUCAUAGAUGGGCUCGCGUCUGAUUAGCUAGUUGGUGAGAUAACAGCCCACCAAGGCGACGAUCAGUAGCCGGUCUGAGAGGAUGAACGGCCACAUCGGAACUGAGACACGGUCCAAACUCCUACGGGAGGCAGCAGUGGGGAAUAUUGCACAAUGGGGGAAACCCUGAUGCAGCGACGCCGCGUGAACGAAGAAGGUAUUCGUAUCGUAAAGUUCUGUCCUAUGGGAAGAUAAUGACAGUACCAUAGAAGAAAGCUCCGGCUAAAUACGUG